UGCGGAAGAGAUAAGUGCUGAAAGCAUCUAAGCACGAAACUUGCCCCGAGAUGAGUUCUCCCUGACCCUUUAAGGGUCCUGAAGGAACGUUGAAGACGACGACGUUGAUAGGCCGGGUGUGUAAGCGCAGCGAUGCGUUGAGCUAACCGGUACUAAUGAACCGUGAGGCUUAACCUUACAACGCCGAAG
rnacentral:rRNA from 1 species